UACAGAGGCCUCAAGCGUUAGGCGGAAUCACUGGGCUUAAAGCGUGUGUAGGUGGAUGCCUAAGUACCUUGUGAAAUCCCACAGCUUAACUGUGGAAUUGCUUGGUAUACUGGGUGUCUUGAGCCACUCAGGGGCUACCGGAACAAACGGUGGAGCGGUGAAAUGCGUAGAUAUCGUUUGGAACGCCAAUGGUGAAAACAGGUAGCUGGGGGUGUGCUGACACUGAGACACGAAAGCCAGGGGAGCAAACGGG
rnacentral:rRNA from 1 species